GUAAUAAAGGACUCAAUAAGAUUAAACUGUUUACAACAAUAUUGGAAAGAUGAAAAAUGCAUCUUUUAAGAAUUUUAUCAUUUUUAGGAUAGGUAUAAGGAUUCUAAAUAGGCAGAAGGAUCAGGAGUGAAUCAAUUAUAUUGGGAUGAUAUAAAAAAUACAUUCCACAGGAAAGGAAUGCCCGUGGAGAAAGGGGAAAGAAAGAGAAAGAAUGUUAAAAAUUAUAUCAUAUAAAAGAGGCAUACCAUAAAGAGUUUGUACAAUGGAGGAGAAAGUGGUAGGUGGUGUUGUAAGGGAUGUUAGCAGGAGUAAGCUAAAAGCAGGAAGUACAUAGGCAGAGGGAGAAAAUUCCAGAAUGCUAAAGAGACUCUCUGGAGGACAGUUAGGGGAGUUACACUCUGAAGAAGGAGAUUUUAAGCUGCCAGGAGAUUGGACUUUACUUCAAGCAAAAUUAUCCUCUGCAAGUGAAAAGUUACUUGCUGGAAUUGGAUAGAAGAAAUGUAACAUGAGGUAUAGUGUAUUUUCAUAAAAUCCAAGAUUUAAAUUUUUGUUCGAGAAAGAUCUUCAGAGAAGAAGCUUGCUAACCCCCAAAAUCCAGAGAAUGGACUGUUUGCAGAAAGAUUCCUAAACCUUUACACUACAAGAAGAUCCAGAAUGAACCUUGGGGUGCAGUUGAUUGAACUGAAGGUUAACUGAACAUUUAUUUUGAAUGUGCACUCUUAUGCCAAAGGGGACUGCCCUCUAAUUGGCUUUUGUCAAUGCGUCCAGCAAAACUUUGGUUUUGCUGUCUCUCUCUCUCUCUCCUCUAUUUCCCCCUUAUUUAUAACUAUUGUGGUUUUCCUCUUAGAGGGUAAAAUUUUGUAUACAUCUGCAGUUAGAAAUUUUUGGGGUGCACGACACUUAUGUUUAGUGAUCAAUUGGGGAGACUAGUCCCCCAAUCAUCAUCAGGAGGGAUUGUGAUUUUUAAAUUUCCUCCAUCUUGCUUGGUUUAGCACCCAGGAAUGUGCACACCCACAGUACACGGGCAUGUGCUAACUAAUGACAAAUGGGAAACAUCUAACUACCCCCUUGGGCUAUCCUAAGCUAAGCUUGAGCUACCAUUGGCACAUGUGAGACACAGGAAGUAAGGUAGAGAACAGCCUCUGGAGUUCUUGUCAUUUCCUGUGGAGAAGGCUAGACACCAGUUUGAUACUGGAGCUUGAGCUGGGAGGAGGCCCGCAGACAACUUUCCUUCAGAUCGGUUAUGUGAGUUAUAAGGACUGACUCCCUUCUCUGCCUUGGCUCUCCAAGGCCUAAAACUCCCACUUGGCUCAGCCUGAGCCAGAGUGGUUGAGUUAACCUCCUUUCCUUCUCUCCCUUUCUCUCUCUCCCUCUGAUAAUUUCUUCCUCCUGUUGUAAUUAAAUCACCAUAAACUCCAUUCUGACUUGAGUGUUUCAUUAGAAUUUUGUAAAUAAAAUCCUUUGGCAACCAAUAAUUAUAUUCA
rnacentral:lncRNA from 1 species